GAUGAACGCUGGCGGCGUGCUUAACACAUGCAAGUCGAACGGGAUCCAAGGGGUGCUUGCACUUUUUGGUGAGAGUGGCGAACGGGUGAGUAACACGUGAGUAACCUGUCCUUUUCUUUGGGAUAAGCAUUCGAAAGGGUGUUUAAUACCUUAUGUUCUGUCUGCCUCGCAUGGGGUGGGUGGGAAAGGCUUUGGCCGGAUUUGGGUGGGCUCGCGGUCUAUCAGCUUGUUGGUGGGGUGAUGGCUUACCAAGGCUUUGACGGGUAGCCGGCCUGAGAGGGUGGUCGGUCACAUUGGGACUGGGAUACGGCCCAGACUCCUGCGGGAGGCAGCAGUGGGGAUAUUGCACAAUGGGCGAAAGCCUGAUGCAGCGACGCCGCGUGGGGGAUGAAGGCCUUCGGGUUGUAAACUUCUUUUGCUCUGAACAAGGCAUGCCAGUGGGUGUGUUGAGUGUAGGGGUUGAUUAGCGCCGGCUAACUACGUGC
rnacentral:rRNA from 1 species